rnacentral:lncRNA from 1 species
CCUAUUUAUAGAGUUAGGGUUGGUUGUCAUCCUCAAUCGUAAGUUAGUUGACAUUUUCGUGUUAAUAUCUAUUAUGCAGACCAAAAUGCCCAUCACUUGUAAUUGUUCUCGUACAGGGCCAGUGUCGCGACACUAAAGGCAGUAUGCUUGGUUUAGGUUUGGCUUCAGAGGUAUGUCGUGACAUCCUAUGGCUGUGUUGCGACACCAAAGGCAAACUUGAAAUUCUUGUAUUCUGCUCCUUAUGUUGUGACAUUGAACUUCUCGAGUUGCAAUACAGUGACCAACCUUGAGUUCCUAUGCCUUUGAAUGGUAUCCUGUACACUCACUAAGCACGUUAGCUCACCCUUAGGCCUCAUUCGACAUCUAAAGUCAUAAAAAUACUCAAGAUACACUUUUUAUUUAAUUCAAAGCAAAGAUAGAAAAUUUAACUAAAACAAAAUAAAAAUGCGUGUAUUCAAUCUUUUUAAAUAUGAAAAUUAGUUUAAUCUGUUAUAUCAUAUUAUAGUAGGUCAAACACUUAUUGUUCAAACUUUAGAGACGAUAACAUAAACCAUAAAACGAACAUAAAAAAAUAUAAAAAAGAAUAGGAGACUUAUCCAAAUAAAUUCACCCGAUUUCUGACCAACCCGCCGGCUAAACAACUUUCCCAACACUUAAAUUUUAUUGUACAUUGUCU